rnacentral:tRNA from 1 species
AAGGAUUUAAGUUAAGAUUAAACUAGAAACCUUCAAAGUUUCAAAUAAAGAUUAAUAUUCUUUAAACCUUA